rnacentral:rRNA from 1 species
GACGAACGCUGGCGGCGUGCUUAACACAUGCAAGUCGAACGGAAAGGCCCUGCUUUUGUGGGGUGCUCGAGCGGCGAACGGGUGAGCAACACGUGAGUAACCUGCCCUUGACUUUGGGAUAACUUCAGGAAACUGGGGCUAAUACCGGAUAGGAGCUCCUGCUGCAUGGUGGGGGUUGGAAAGUUUCGGCGGUUGGGGAUGGACUCGCGGCUUAUCAGCUUGUUGGUGGGGUAGUGGCUUACCAAGGCUUUGACGGGUAGCCGGCCUGAGAGGGUGACCGGCCACAUUGGGACUGAGAUACGGCCCAGACUCCUACGGGAGGCAGCAGUGGGGAAUAUUGCACAAUGGGCGGAAGCCUGAUGCAGCAACGCCGCGUGCGGGAUGACGGCCUUCGGGUUGUAAACCGCUUUCGCCUGUGACGAAGCGUGAGUGACGGUAAUGGGUAAAGAAGCACCGGCUAACUACGUGCCAGCAGCCGCGGUGAUACGUAGGGUGCGAGCGUUGUCCGGAUUUAUUGGGCGUAAAGGGCUCGUAGGUGGUUGAUCGCGUCGGAAGUGUAAUCUUGGGGCUUAACCCUGAGCGUGCUUUCGAUACGGGUUGACUUGAGGAAGGUAGGGGAGAAUGGAAUUCCUGGUGGAGCGGUGGAAUGCGCAGAUAUCAGGAGGAACACCAGUGGCGAAGGCGGUUCUCUGGGCCUUUCCUGACGCUGAGGAGCGAAAGCGUGGGGAGCGAACAGGCUUAGAUACCCUGGUAGUCCACGCUGUAAACGGUGGGUACUAGGUGUGGGGUCCAUUCCACGGGUUCCGUGCCGUAGCUAACGCUUUAAGUACCCCGCCUGGGGAGUACGGCCGCAAGGCUAAAACUCAAAGGAAUUGACGGGGCCCCGCACAAGCGGCGGAGCAUGCGGAUUAAUUCGAUGCAACGCGUAGAACCUUACCUGGGUUUGACAUGGAUCGGGAGUGCUCAGAGAUGGGUGUGCCUCUUUUGGGGUCGGUUCACAGGUGGUGCAUGGCUGUCGUCAGCUCGUGUCGUGAGAUGUUGGGUUAAGUCCCGCAACGAGCGCAACCCUUGUUCACUGUUGCCAGCACGUUAUGGUGGGGACUCAGUGGAGACCGCCGGGGUCAACUCGGAGGAAGGUGGGGAUGACGUCAAGUCAUCAUGCCCCUUAUGUCCAGGGCUUCACGCAUGCUACAAUGGCUGGUACAGAGAGUGGCGAGCCUGUGAGGGUGAGCGAAUCUCGGAAAGCCGGUCUCAGUUCGGAUUGGGGUCUGCAACUCGACCUCAUGAAGUCGGAGUCGCUAGUAAUCGCAGAUCAGCAACGCUGCGGUGAAUACGUUCCCGGG